AUACGAGGGGUGCGAGCGUUGUUCGGAAUUACUGGGCGUAAAGGGAGCGUAGGCGGAGAUUCAAGCGGAUUGUACAAUCCCGGGGCCCAACCCCGGCUCUGCAGUCCGAACUGGAUCUCUUGGAUAGUUCAGGGGCAGGCGGAAUUCCUGGUGUAGCGGUGGAAUGCGUAGAGAUCAGGAAGAACACCGAUGGCGAAGGCAGCCUGCUGGGGACUUAUCGACGCUGAGGCUCGAAAGUGCGGGUAGCAAACAGGAUUAGAUACCCUGGUAGUCCGCACCGUAAACGAUGCAUACUGGGUGUCCGGGGGUUCCCCCGGGUACCGUAGCCAACGCGUUAAGUAUGCCGCCUGGGGAGUACGUACGCAAGUAUGAAACUCAAAUGAAUUGGCGGGG
rnacentral:rRNA from 1 species